GGUCGUUAGGCUCAGUUGGUAGAAGCAGUUGACUUUUAAUCAAUUGGUCGCAGGUUCGAAUCCUGACGACCACCA
rnacentral:tRNA from 1 species